CGGCCGCGUGGCUGGAAGCCAUGGCUGCUGCUCGGGUCCGGGCCGGAGCUCGCGAUCCGCGUGAGGACUGUGGUGGCGGCAAGGUUGCCGAGUCCUCCCAGGCGUGACGCGGCUUGAGGCUGACGUGUAGAUGGAGCCCUGGAGUGGAGAGGGGGCCGGCGCGCCCUGGGCGCUCACCGCGGACGUCGGCCUCCCGGUUGGUUCCGGAGCCAAGUCCAAGUGUGCGCUGGAGACCUGACACCUGGGACGGAUCGGACAAGAAGCCUGCCCGGGGCCAGAGACCUGGAGGACCCGGAGCUGAGCGGGAGGAUCCCCGCGACGACCUUCCUGUGAAGAGGUGGCUGGAGGAGUGGCCUUGAGCAGGGACACUUGAGAAAGGCUGGGACGUGUGGGCCUGUGCAUUGAGACAGGAAACCGCUCUGCCCUUGAGGGAGCGCUGGAGCGCAGCGGGCCAGCAGGUGGACCGAGCAGUGCCUCUUGCCAGGUGCGGCUCCAGCCUGAGGAGGCUCUUCAGCAGCUGCGAGGAACAGCGGCGCGGCGUGGAGUGCCUCACGCGUGCGGCAGCGGCAGAGCCUGCGUCUGCUGAUGGACGAUCUCUGAGGGGGACCCAAGGGUUCUGUGGGCGCCACCUUCAAACGUAGACGAAGAACUUGAGUGACAGAUUAUUCCAGAAAACUUGGAGGAGUUAACAAGAUGAGGGUAUAGCUUAAACAGAAUUCGGGCUUUGGUCACCAGGUGUAACGUGUGUGUUGGUGGACUGGAACCAAGUGAUGUGGACACUGCUGGGCACACAGGAACCAGGUGCUUGGCCUGGAGCAUUUCUCGGUGGACUUCCUAUGCACCUGCUAUGUCUGGCUUUGCAUUCUGAAGCACAAAUAAAAAACUUUGUGGUUGGCUCACU